GGCUCAAAUUUGAAGUACGGUAGAUCAGCAGGAUCAGCUGACUAUACUUAUCUACUCUACUUCAAGUUUGCGCCU
rfam:Haemonchus contortus, ISE/inbred ISE, WGS project CAVP01000000 data, contig: Hcontortus_48026